UUUAUGGAGAGUUUGAUCCUGGCUCAGGAUGAACGCUGGCGGCGUGCCUAAUACAUGCAAGUCGAGCGAACGGACGAGAAGCUUGCUUCUCUGAUGUUAGCGGCGGACGGGUGAGUAACACGUGGAUAACCUACCUAUAAGACUGGGAUAACUUCGGGAAACCGGAGCUAAUACCGGAUAAUAUUUUGAACCGCAUGGUUCAAAAGUGAAAGACGGUCUUGCUGUCACUUAUAGAUGGAUCCGCGCUGCAUUAGCUAGUUGGUAAGGUAACGGCUUACCAAGGCAACGAUGCAUAGCCGACCUGAGAGGGUGAUCGGCCACACUGGAACUGAGACACGGUCCCAGACUCCUACGGGAGGCAGCAGUAGGGAAUCUUCCGCAAUGGGCGAAAGCCUGACGGAGCAACGCCGCGUGAGUGAUGAAGGUCUUCGGAUCGUAAAACUCUGUUAUUAGGGAAGAACAUAUGUGUAAGUAACUGUGCACAUCUUGACGGUACCUAAUCAGAAAGCCACGGCUAACUACGUGCCAGCAGCCGCGGUAAUACGUAGGUGGCAAGCGUUAUCCGGAAUUAUUGGGCGUAAAGCGCGCGUAGGCGGUUUUUUAAGUCUGAUGUGAAAGCCCACGGCUCAACCGUGGAGGGUCAUUGGAAACUGGAAAACUUGAGUGCAGAAGAGGAAAGUGGAAUUCCAUGUGUAGCGGUGAAAUGCGCAGAGAUAUGGAGGAACACCAGUGGCGAAGGCGACUUUCUGGUCUGUAACUGACGCUGAUGUGCGAAAGCGUGGGGAUCAAACAGGAUUAGAUACCCUGGUAGUCCACGCCGUAAACGAUGAGUGCUAAGUGUUAGGGGGUUUCCGCCCCUUAGUGCUGCAGCUAACGCAUUAAGCACUCCGCCUGGGGAGUACGACCGCAAGGUUGAAACUCAAAGGAAUUGACGGGGACCCGCACAAGCGGUGGAGCAUGUGGUUUAAUUCGAAGCAACGCGAAGAACCUUACCAAAUCUUGACAUCCUUUGACAACUCUAGAGAUAGAGCCUUCCCCUUCGGGGGACAAAGUGACAGGUGGUGCAUGGUUGUCGUCAGCUCGUGUCGUGAGAUGUUGGGUUAAGUCCCGCAACGAGCGCAACCCUUAAGCUUAGUUGCCAUCAUUAAGUUGGGCACUCUAAGUUGACUGCCGGUGACAAACCGGAGGAAGGUGGGGAUGACGUCAAAUCAUCAUGCCCCUUAUGAUUUGGGCUACACACGUGCUACAAUGGACAAUACAAAGGGCAGCGAAACCGCGAGGUCAAGCAAAUCCCAUAAAGUUGUUCUCAGUUCGGAUUGUAGUCUGCAACUCGACUACAUGAAGCUGGAAUCGCUAGUAAUCGUAGAUCAGCAUGCUACGGUGAAUACGUUCCCGGGUCUUGUACACACCGCCCGUCACACCACGAGAGUUUGUAACACCCGAAGCCGGUGGAGUAACCUUUUAGGAGCUAGCCGUCGAAGGUGGGACAAAUGAUUGGGGUGAAGUCGUAACAAGGUAGCCGUAUCGGAAGGUGCGGCUGGAUCACCUCCUUU
rnacentral:rRNA from 1 species